rnacentral:rRNA from 1 species
UACGUAGGUGGCAAGCGUUGUCCGGAUUUAUUGGGCGUAAAGGGAGCGCAGGCGGUGACUUAAGUCUGAUGUGAAAGCCCACGGCUCAACCGUGGAAGGUCAUUGGAAACUGGUCGACUUGAGUGCAGAAGAGGGAAGUGGAAUUCCAUGUGUAGCGGUGAAAUGCGUAGAGAUAUGGAGGAACACCAGUGGCGAAGGCGGCUUCCUGGUCUGUAACUGACACUGAGGCGCGAAAGCGUGGGGGAGCAAACAGGAUUAGAUACCCCCGUA